AAAGAUGGAGAAGUUCUAUACAGUCGGCAAAAAUAAGACUGGGAGCUGAGUGUGGCUCAGAUUAUGAACUCCUUAUUGCCAAAUUCAGACUUAAAUUGAAGAAAGUGGGGAAAACCACUAGACCAUGCAGGUAUGACCUAAAUAAUAUCCCUUA